CUGCCGGGUACUCCUAGAAUUAACCCACUAAAAAUUCUACCAAUGUUACCAGCAAACAAAAAGGCUAUCAUUUAAAUCCCAUAGUAUUCUUAUAUUCUAGCACUGAUUAAAUCCUUUUGUUUCAGAUCAGCCCAAAUGAAACUGAAAGAUUUUCAGAUUUCCCAUUGUCAAAGAAAACACUGAAAGGUUUGCAAGAAGCACAGUAUCACAUGGUAACUGAGAUACAGAGGCAGAUCAUAGGCUUGUCAUUGCCAGGUAAAGAUGUACUUGGAGCUGCAAAGACUGAAUCAGGCAAAACCUUGGCAUUUAUUAUCCCAUGCCACCACAUGAUCGGCUCUGUCCCUGUCCUCCCCACCCCCUCCCUGGAUGUGCGUCCUCAUGCCCAGAGCUCAGAACCCAUGGAAGGGCUGGUAGCAGGCGCUGCUUUCUGGAACCAGCUGCCCCACAUACCAGGGCAGUGAAGGGACACUUUGGGGCAUUGCCCUCACCUUGUUGCUGCCUCCAUCCCCAGGCAAGUGGGAUUGGCAGCGCUGGCAGAUCUACCUCUACCGGCAAACAGGAACCCAGGAGUCCCGGGCAAGGCUCACCUUGGGGGCAGACGCUGCUGUAUCCAGGGGCAAUAGGCACUAAUGGGCACAGACCAGCCUGCGCCAAGGGAGCUUGAAGACAGCUGUCACCGGAGGAUCUGGGCAGCGCGAUGGGGCCCUCCAGCCUGGCAUAAACCUGGCCCCUCCGAUGCAGCUGAGGGAGUGGUAAUGCCAUAGACACUCCCUGGAACUACACUGGGCCCGGUGCUGACUCGGGUCUCUCCUCGGCUCGCCGGACAAGCCAGGGUCGAAGUAGAGGUCGUGUUUGCUCCUGCUGCCUGGGACAAAGUCCCCCAUGAGGUGGCAGGCCAGACCUCCCUCUCUGCCUGCAAUGACCUCCUAACUGCAGCCAGUAUCCUCCGUGGGUCACAGCGUGGAUGGUAAAGGGGGGAUUUUGGGGAGGGGAUCCCAGGCAGGCUGUGUGGUCAACUCCCCUCCCUUAUUAUCCCUGAUGGCUUGAAGUGCCAGCGUCUGUCCCUUCCUUUCUCUCUGCAAAGGGUAGCUGAUGACUCACGGCAGGCACACGGUGAUCCUGCCCCCACCUCCCCACAGCUCUGCUGUGCCCCCUUCCUCCUAACCCACUGCUCCCCCUGCUAUUCUGGGCCUGGGGCCUCUCCCCAGCAGAGACCAGCGGCUUGUGCUAGGCUUCGCACUGGUUCUGUGACCUGAGUUGCAAUUAAACCCAUGUCUCUUAAAGGCAGGAGGUGAAUUCUGCUGUCACCCAGAUCUUCCCUGCCAUCCUGGGCUGUGGCUGGGAGAAAUCCCAAGGCACAAGCCAGUUCUGGUCAAUGGUCAGCUCAUUUGAGAUCUGCUUAGCCCAUCUGUGAGUUUAACCCUCUGAGACCCGAAGCUCACCUCUACUGCAUCUGGUUACAUUUAGCUCUUGAGCCCUGAUUGAGCUCAAGGCCCCAUUGUGCAGGGUGCUGUACAUCCUUCCAGUCAGAGGCAGUCCCUACCCUGAAGAGUGCAGAGUCUAAAUAGACCAAGUGGGGAGGGGAAACAGGCCUGGAGCGAGGCAGUGACUUGCACAAGGUUAGAACCCUAGUCGCUAGGCUGCGCUGCCUCUCUAUGCCAGUUUCUACGAGCAGCCUUGGCUGUGAUCUUGCCGUUGUGAUCUAUGGGGGAGGGAGUGUGGCUUCUGUUGUAUAACACCUAGCUCAGUGUGGCUGGGCCCGGUGGGGGCCUGUUGGUGCCAGCGAAUCAUAGGCUUGACAUCAUUGUAACCAAUCCCCAUGGGAGGUGAAAACCUGGCAGCUCGUUGCGCCCAGCGGCCAUCCAGCAGGAGGAUGUCAGGGUUCAGGGCUCCGUAUCCCUGGCUCCCACAGCCACCUGGCCUGUCCACCCCGGUCACUCUAGUGAAGGUCUCAGUACUCAGCUCUCUUCCCCAGCCCGAGCGAGAGGCAAGACGGUCGUGCACUGGCCCCUGCAAUCGUUAGCAGGGUGCUCGGUGUAACGUGGGCUACGUGCGCCAGACCGAGUUGUAUUAGAUCUUCAUUAGAUCCUUCGCAUCAGGAGCCAGGCCCUGGAUUGUUUACGCUCCAGCCCCUUCACCUGCCCACUUGGGCCUCUUUCCCCACUAGGUUCAUUAAAGGAAAUAAAACAGUUUUUUGGGAACCUGCUUGGUGCUCACCAGAGAGAGACAGUGAGUCCUUAGUGGCAGGGAAGCUCUGGAUUUAAUCCUUCAGCCACCAGCACUGGAGGGAUGGGGAGGGGGUGGAUUCUCUUCGGUUCUGCCCAGGUAAGAUGGAGUUUACACUGUGGGAGAUCGGGAUCUGGAGCAGCUGGGGGCAUGAGAAGGACGGGAUGUAGCUGGAAUCAGAAUAAGGCCCGGGGCUGUACUAGUGACAGUUCUUUCAUGUGGUGCUCGCAGCUUGCCCCGCCCCUUCCCCCAUCCUGGUCAGGUGUCAUCCCAGUGGAAACCCUCCCAUGGCCAGAAAUGGCAUCCAGUACGGAAAGCUAGUGGGGCUGAGGCAGGUUGCUAACGUGCAUCUAGUGGCCUGGGGAACGGGCCUCAAAGAGCUUAAAAUCUAAAUCCAUGAUGGCAGGUGAUGAUGCUGGGCUAAGAGGAAGGACUGAGGGGAGUGGAACAAGCCCAUGGGGGAGCUGUCAGCAUGUUCGUUCCUAUAGGACAAUCAUCGCUGGGGCACCAAGGGCAGAAUCUGUGUAGGUGUUAACCCCGGUGCCAUUCUCCCUCCCUGAGUUUUCAGUUGUAGCUUCAGGAUCUCUUUGCUGUUGUACAGUGUCCUUAAACAGCUGCCCUGUUUCACCCCAGAGGUGGCUGCAUUUUGGUAGUGGAUGAAAUGAUCCUUGUAGUGACCAUUUUUAAAGCACUUAGUAUUGGCUGCUGUGGAAGCUUUGCCUUCAGGAGUCCUGACCCCCUGUCAGUUACACUCCAAAUGGCAGGACGACAGAGCCUGCUUUUAAAUUCUGGCUGCGUUCCAAGGUGACCGGUCCCUGUAAACCUCUAAUCUGCUCUUCACCAUUCAUGCCCUUUGUGCCUCUGGGGCGUGGUGAAAUUCAAUUAGUCAAUUUCUCUUUGUUUCUGAUUUCUCCUGUGUUGAUUUGAAGAGGCUGGUUUUGGGGGUGGUGACUUUAAAGUUUUGUCAAACCAGCCCCCUUCCCCCAAAUAGGGGAAGUUGUGUGACGUUUUGUAACCCCAGCCUUGUGCAACUCAAUUUUUUUCUUACGGGCCUGGCCCUGAUCCUGCAACGGGAUUUCAGAAACAAGCCUAAUCUGUCCUCUCUAGGUUCUUAUUUUGCUCUUAUCACCCCAGUAUCUGAAUGCCUUCCAGUCGUGCAUUAAAUGAUGUGGCUUCACAUCUUUCAUGUGGCUUGUUCUCUCAUCCUCUCCCUUGAUGGAGAACUGAGGGCAGUGGAGUGUCUUGUCAUUUUAGAGGUUCCAGUAGGUCAAAGAAACGCAUCUGGAUUUGGGAUGGUCUCUGGUUCAUGUGGCAGGUAGUUCCACAGUCUACAACCAGACCCUGAGGAAACUCUGUCUCCUGCACAGGUGAACUUCACCGUGGUGCUAGGUGCCAUUGCACCAAUGAAGUAGAGUUGUCAGCCAUUAUCUUUCUGCCAAAGUCGUACGCUCAUUUAGAUCCCCCUUGGCGCAGGCCAUGGAGGCCUUGAAGAUGGGAACAAGAACUUGAACUUGGUUUGAAAGGCAGAGGCUCUAAGGUGAAGCAUGAGGUUGGAAGCUGCUACCCACAAGCUGGCGUGUGUUAGGUUUCUGUAAUCACAAAUGUUGGGCCUAAAACUUGUCAUGUCUCUUUAAGAGCAGUCUGGCCCUCUGAUUAAGAGACUCAGCUCUCUUCCAGAUAACUCUGAUCUCUCCUAAUUACAGGUCCCUAGAGCCCUGGUGCUGGGCCCUGCUGGGCUUUGAAUCAGGCGCUGAUUUCCCUUCAACAGAGAAUGGCUUUGUUAACCAGAUCUGUGGUCCUAAGUGGUAUGCUUUUUCCUUUCUGUAUAUCAGGGUUGAUCCCUGUCCCAGGUAUUUGAAUAAUACCUCCUGCUGCUGCAUUGGAUGCAAGAGAACUGGAUUCAUUUUGAUGAGCAAGAGCGCAGUCUAUGGUCAGAGUAAGGAAUGGGAGUUGGUAUUCCUGGCUCUGGGAUGGAGAAUGGGAUCCAGUGGUUAGAGCAGGGGACUGAGAAUCAGAACUCCUGGGUUCUAUUCCCAGCUCUGGGAGAGGAGUGGAGUCUAGUGGUUGGGGGUGGGGAGCUGAGAGUCAGGCUUCUUGGUGCUCUUUUCCAUUCUUCCACUUCCUGUGCAACAGUGGGCAAGGUCAUGUCUCCCUGCCUCAGUGUCCCUUCCCAUAAAAAAGGGAAUAGUAUCUACCUCCUGGAAGGAUUAAGGAGAUUAAGGUUUUGCUCAGUUUGUUGAAAGGUGUUACAAAAGAUUAGCGGUAUGACAACAUCUCCAUUAGCCAGCUAUCCUCUGGUGUUUAUCCUGGCGCAGGUCAGUGUGUUAGUCUAUUGUGUAAUUAGACACAGUCAAUUAGUUUCAUAUGCCAGAUUCGUGCCAUCUGACAAAACUGACAUGAAUAGAAAUGCGUUAAUAGGUCUUUAAAGGGGCUCUCUCAGCUGAAAGGCCACUGAGCUGGAAAAGAAUGGCUACAAAACCUCAGGGUUAUUAGAACGAGAGGCUUCUAAAAAUCCAGGUUGCCAUUUACUAUUUACAAGUUACCGUCAAUGGCAUGCAGGCUCCUAAAGCCUAUAAGCCCUUUGGAAAAUGUUACCCUGUUCCCGCUAUUGCUUUUGCAUAGAAGUUGCUCAGAUACUAGGGAGCUGGGCAUCCAUAUAAAACCCUGAGAUAGGUAAGUCUAUCUGCUAAGCAAAGGAAAUCUCACUAGUAUCAAUUUCACUCCUGCUUAUAGUCAGUUUCACUCUAGGGCUCUCCUAGCUGCAAGAGGGGUGGGGGACCCUUCGUCUGUUUCAAGUGGGACUUAGUUCAAAAAUAAUUGGAAUAUUUCAGGAUUUGUUUUUAGACAGCAUUGGCGGGUUUAACCAAAACUUACAUUUUUGGAGGCCAAAUUUGAAUUGACUGCUCGUUAAAUGUUUUUUAAUUACAGUAGCCCCCAGAGAUAUUGAUUGCAACCGAGGACUCCUUGUGCCUGGGUUCUGUAGGGACCUGAAAUGAACCAGUGUCUGCCCCUAAGAGCUUACAAUGGAACUCCCAAAGCUUGCAAUUGAUUAUACAGGGGGGAUCCCCCUGGAAAUCAAUGGGGCUUAGUGUCGGGGUCUGUCCAUACACUCAACUGCGGGAUUGGAGCCUCAGUUAACCCUUCGUCUUGCCACAGUGCCGAGAACCUGCAGAAUCUUAGCCCUGCUGGCGAAGGAAUGAAACUGACCAGUGCAGAGGCACUGUGUACAUUCCUAUCCUGCCCUCACUACCACAGUGUUUGGUCAUUUUUCAGUCCAUGCCAUUAGCAAGGUGACUCCCAUCUGUCCCCUGCGGUUCAUUCUUUCACCAGGGAGAGAGCUAUGUGUGCAGUGGAGGUGUUAGUUUUGGUAGGGUCUUUUUAUAUAUGCCUAUGCUGUGCUGUUUUUAUAGUGGAGAAGGCUGAUCAGAGGAGGGCACAUAGGAGGAAGAGGUGGGGAAGUCUGCCUCACCCUGGGAAACACAUCUGUGUCCUCCAACAAAAUUUGUUUCACUGGAAAAAACAAAGAAACCCCCCCAGCCCGCACUUCCUCUUUAACAGUGUGCUUUGUUGUAAACAUAUUUGAAACAAUUACCAAUAAAGUUUUGUUUAAAAA